ensembl:snRNA U7 U7 small nuclear RNA
AUUUGGUAACAGCUCUUUUAGAAUUUGUCUAGCAAGUUUUCUAGUCUGUACCCAAAAGCCUCA